rnacentral:rRNA from 1 species
UACGUAGGUCCCGAGCGUUGUCCGGAUUUAUUGGGCGUAAAGCGAGCGCAGGUGGUUUAUUAAGUCUGGUGUAAAAGGCAGUGGCUCAACCAUUGUAUGCAUUGGAAACUGGUAGACUUGAGUGCAGGAGAGGAGAGUGGAAUUCCAUGUGUAGCGGUGAAAUGCGUAGAUAUAUGGAGGAACACCGGUGGCGAAAGCGGCUCUCUGGCCUGUAACUGACGCUGAGGCACGAAAGCGUGGGGAGCAAACAGG